UCAAAAUUCGCAUGGUUCCGUUGAUUUUGCUCUUUAAACAUUUUUCUCAGUUUGAGUUAACGGAGAGAGGUUCGUGUUUGAGUAGCUUAAUUAGUGAAGAAGCUUCUCGCUCUACUGUUCUUCUUGUUUGAUUGAUGUUGAAUUUAAGGGUUAAUCGGAUUCUUCGUAGACCCUUAAUUCGAUGUUUACCUUGCUCAAUCUCUAACGAUGAUGCAUCUUUCUCGACAACUUCAUCGAAAAAUCCUGGCUUUAGUCAUGUUCCGGAGAUUGGAGCAGUUUCUUAUCAAGAAGAUGAACAUUUAGGAGAGUUGAGGCAAUUGGGUUUCGUAAAGUCAUCAGCUUUGAAUGCUACGAGCGUUGGUGAACCUGAAUUCGGAGAGAUUCCAAACCCUAGGUUUGAUGAGAUUGAUGAAUUGGGAGAAGAUGAAGAAGAAGAACUAGAUGAAGAUGGUGGAACAAGUGGCGAAGAGCGUGAUGAUGAUCUCGCUGUUCUGAAAUCGGUUAGGAAGAUUCCUCAAUCACGAGAAGAAAAUGGUAGAUUCGAUGUGGAAGAAGAUGAAUCUAGGCAUCCUUUGGUGAGAGAGAUAGGUAGGUUAAUUGGUCUCAGGUCAUCUUGGAACCCAAAGCAUGAAGCUCAGAUGAGGAAUCUUCUGAGGAGUCUUAAACCAUCACAAGUCUGUUCUGUUUUACGCUCACAGGACGAUGAACGUGUUGCUCUUAAGUUCUUCUACUGGGCAGAUCGUCAAUGGCGGUAUAGGCAUGAUCCCAUGGUGUAUUACUCCAUGCUUGAAGUUCUUAGUAAGACUAAACUGUGUCAAGGUGCUAGGAGAGUUCUCGUUCUGAUGAAGCGUAGAGGUAUAUAUCGAAGCCCUACAGCGUUUUCGUUUGUAAUGGUAUCGUAUAGUAGGGCAGGUCAGCUUAGAGAUGCGUUGAAGGUGUUGACUCUUAUGCAGAGAGCUGGCGUUGAACCUGAUUUGUUAAUUUGCAAUACAACUAUUGAUGUUUUCUUGAGAGCGAAUAGGUUGGAGAAAGCUUUACGGUUUCUAGAACGUAUGCAGGUUGUUGGUAUAGUGCCGAAUGUGGUGACUUAUAAUUGUAUGAUUAGAGGUUAUUGUGACUUGCAUCGAGUUGAGGAGGCAAUUGAACUACUAGAGGAUAUGCCUAGUAAAGGAUGUUUGCCAGAUAAAGUUAGUUACUAUACGAUAAUGGGAUAUCUUUGUAAAGAAAAACGGAUUGUGGAAGUGAGAGACUUGAUGAAGAAGAUGGCGAAAGAGCAUGGUUUGGUGCCGGAUCAAGUCACUUACAAUACUCUAAUUCAUAUGCUCACAAAACAUGACCAUGCAGAUGAGGCUCUUUGGUUUCUAUGCGAUGCUGAUGAAAAAGGUUUUCGGAUUGAUAAGGUGGGUUAUAGUGCUAUAGUUCAUGCAUUGUGCAAAGAGGGAAGAAUGUCUGAGGCUAAAGAUCUCAUCAAUGAAAUGCUGUCGAAAGGACAUUGUCCACCUGAUGUAGUAACUUAUACUACAGUUGUUAAUGGCUUCUGUCGUUUGGGAGAGGUCGACAAAGCUAAAAAGCUUCUUCAGGUUAUGCACACACAUGGACAUAAACCAAAUACUGUGUCAUACACAGCUCUGUUAAAUGGGAUGUGCCGAACAGGGAAAUCAUUAGAGGCAAGAGAAAUGAUGAACAUGAGCGAAGAGCACUGGUGGAGUCCGAAUUCCAUUACUUAUAGCGUAAUUAUGCAUGGGUUGCGAAGGGAAGGGAAACUGUCUGAGGCCUGUGAUGUGGUAAGAGAGAUGGUACGAAAAGGUUUUUUCCCUGGCCCAGUUGAAAUCAACUUAUUGCUCCAGAGCCUUUGUCGGGAUGGGAGAACACAUGAGGCCAGAAAAUUCAUGGAGGAGUGUCUGAACAAGGGUUGUGCUAUUAAUGUCGUGAAUUUCACUACAGUGAUUCAUGGUUUAUGUCAGAACGGUGAGCUAGAUGCUGCUCUCUCAGUGCUUGAUGACAUGUACCUGAUCAACAAACACGCAGAUGUCUUUAUAUAUACUACUUUUGUUGAUGCGUUAGGAAAAAAAGGUAGAAUAUCAGAAGCAACGGAACUUAUGAAGAAGAUGCUUCAUAAAGGUAUAGAUCCUACCCCUGUUACAUACAGGACUGUCAUCCAUCGAUACUGCCAAAUGGGAAAAGUUGAUGAUCUUGUGGCUAUAUUGGAGAAGAUGAUAUUGAGGCAGAAAUGCAGGACGGUUUAUAAUCAAGUCAUUGAGAAGCUUUGUGGUCUGGGAAAGCUCGAGGAGGCAGACAAACUUUUGGGAAAGGUUCUGAGGACAGCUUCAAUAGCUGAUGCUAAGACAUGUUACGUACUUAUGGAAGGCUAUCUUAAGAAAGGUUUGCCUCUGUCAGCAUAUAAAGUGGCCUGUCGGAUGUUUAACCGCAAUCUGAUACCUGAUGUUAAGAUGUGUGAGAAGCUUAGCAAAAGACUGGUUCGAGACAGAAAAGUAGAGGAGGCAGAUCAGCUAAUGUUACGUUUGGUUGAGCGUGGUCAUAUUUCUCCCCAGUCCUCAAAACCAUCAAUGGUCUAGUAAAUACCUGUCUUGAUUUACUUUAGUUUUUGUAACAACAAACUUCUUGAUAGUAUUUGAGGCUUCAAGCAGAGCGAUUUUGAUAAUACAACUGUCCAGGUGCUGGAAAUGAUAACUACAUGCUGUUGUAUAUUUUGCUUCUUAGUCACAACCUCCAGAUCCAAAACGAAGGAACUAGGCUCUCACACUCCGUUAGCAGUGAUGGAUUUCUUCUUUGAUGCUCUUGGCAUGAGGAAACUGGUUUGAGCAGAAACCAGUUAUUCUAUUUCACAUUUUCCUGGUAGCGUUAUUCCCAAUACUUCUACUCAUUGUUUUCAUUAUUACUAUUAAUGACUGGACAAAACUAAGAAAUAACCUUCCAAAAGGAAGAACGUGAAAUGGUUUUUCCUUUCCGCAGGGACCAUAUUUAAGUGACACCAUACAAUCAAGUACUGAUAAGUCUCUGUCCUCUUAAGUUUUACUUUAAUUAAGGCCACGAUUGCAUAUUUGCGUUUGCGUUUCCAUGUUAUCAAUGAUUAGAACAUUAUAACAUGGAUAAGUAAACAUAAACACAGAAAAAUAAUUGUGACCUAAAUCAUGUGUCUCUAAGUUUUAUUUUACUUUAUAGCAAAACUAGAGGUUCAGUAUACCUCACUGUUUAUUGAUCAUUUUGAUUAUUCUGGGAAGUGAUUUCAUUAUAGACCAUGAUGUUUUGUUGGUUGCUGCUUGAUAAUUAGAAUACAGUAGAAGGUGCAAAUAGAAAAGAGUUGUUGAUGCAAAUGAGUUGACUAUAACACUUAAGAGUUUUUAUACAUGUAGGAUUUUCACUUUCUCUGAUGGUAUAUGGUAUUUAUAUUAUCAAUUAUGAGAAGAAAUAGGAAAUCAUUUUGGGACAGACAGAAUUCUAUGGUUAGAAUUACGAUAGAUGACUUAACCUUGAUGGGGGUAUAUCAUACAUGUCGCUAUAUUAAUAAAGAUAUCCAUUAUUUUCUGUAUUUGGGUAUAGUGAAGCUGAUAGCUGUGCAUAAACACUCUCUCUUAUUGUAUUUUAGUUGAUUUUGGUGUCUUGUACCAACGCGGAAUUAACUCUUCAUUACUUUCUUUUUCCGUGUGAACCUGGUGACGUUGGAGGUACUUAUCAAACAACAUUUCCAUGAUAAUUGCCUGCAUCUUGGCUGAUUCUGAUAAUAAGCCAAAACUAGAAACUGUUGCUGGGAAAGUGAAAGUAAAGAGCGUACCUACCUCAGUUACUGCUUUUGUUGUAGACUGUUACUUUAUAUUCUGCAAACAAAAGGAUCAUGUCUGCUCUGCUUGUCCAGUUAACGGUUUUAAACUGUUGCUUUUUAUAGGAACUUAUUGAGCCAUUUCCAUUUUGGCGUGUUGCUGUUGGUUUUUCCAUGUAAAGGCUGAGAGAGCCCUUAUGCGAAACUCGUUUCUUACUCUGCGCAUUCACUGUUACCAUAUAAUUUCACACACAAUCAUGCUAAAAAGAAAGUGUUGCUUUCAAGAAUCUCUUGUGAAAUUCAUUUUUAGAAAAGAUGUUGAAUUGAUCUUUGGCGAUGUGAUUUGUUGUUUUGUUUGUAAUGUUUAAAUGGUAUGUCCCAGUAUAUGACAGCGAUUAUAACUGUUGUUGUCUUUUAGUGGAGGACUUGACUUAUCUACAGGAUUCUACCUUGGAUUUAUGAUAUUUCCAUCAACACUUGACAGUAAAUGCUACUGGUGCUUCAAAGGAUCUCUACUGGAGCUUCAAAGGAUUUCUAUUGGUUACAUGCAAGUGCCGACAGAGCGAGAACUGUUCUAUUACUGUACACUGCACAGGUACUGAAAGUCUCCAACUUUACAUAAAAAUAGUUUCUAGAAACUUGAUGGCUCUGACUGAACCAUUAACUAGUAAGGUCUUUAGCAUCUUAUGUAGUGAAACCGAACCCUGUAAAGUCUUUGCUUUGGCAAAAUGGUUGAAUACAAAUGAAUAAACUUUGUGUUAAUCAAGAGAGUCCUGCGGUUAGGAUUUUUAGCCUUGGAAGCCUUAAUCGAACAAAUUAAUCACUCGUUUAACUUUGCUUAACUCAUUAACAACAUUGGUGAAUCCUUCUUUACGUUCCAAUGUACUGCAAUGCCACAUUAUUGAGAUGGGUCGUUUGCAUUAUUGAAGUCACCCGCAACGAAUCCAUGACCCUGAACUGAUGGGUUCAUUUCUGCUUAUGAUUUGCAUUGCCAAAACACUCUGCAACAAAACACCACGAGUCCUUUCUGCCCCAUCUCUUCAACUCAUGGGUAUGUAUAACACCAUUAGCAACAUAAAUAUCUUCAUGCUUUUUUUUUCACCCAUCUCUGCAAAUGCUGUGGUUUAAUAGUGACAUAGGUCAAAUUCAACUGUAGUCUAUUUUGUCUGCUUAUGGUUACAAUCGCUUUCCUCUUCGGCUUAUUACUUUGUCAGGAGGGUUAUUACACGUCAAGAGAAACCUCAUUGGUUAUGGCCAUCCAUUCUUUGUGGUCGACCUUAACUGGACUGUGUAUUUGAGGAUUUUGUGUUUGGUAUUAUCCAAAGGCACUUAUGCUUUUGCUUACUGAAUCAUCUCCCAUGUUCUGUUUACUUUGUUUGUCUUCCAAUUUGCACCCAAAGAUCAUUCA